CUCCAAUAUAUACCCAGCAAAAAACUCUGAUGCUUUGCCAACUCCAUCUUUCAAACCAAUACCAAUGCCAAAUGCCACAGCAGUGCAAACGCAUAAAGCAACAGUUUUAAUAGAGGUUGUAUAAUUUCCAUGGUCCUGAGUUUUCUCCCCUGAUUUUUUAUCCACAUAAAGGGAAGCUUCAUCAUUCGUCCGAGAACUGCCGCCCUCAGAUUCUGAGGUAGAUAAAUCAGCCUCCUG
rnacentral:misc_RNA from 1 species